CUCCCCCCUUUCCACCCCCACCCUCCUUGCUCAGUCUGAGGGUUUGGUGCGUGUCAAUCCUGCUGUUCUCCCUCACCUCCUGAGUGCCAGCAAUGAUUAAUAAAACCUGACUCGGCUGGAAGGGCAAGGAAAAAAACAACAAUACAGGACAUUUCUGGAGAUCGUCCUAAUCCAGCACCUCGGAGCCAAAUGAAUCAGCAGCUUCUCAUUCUGCCGGCAGGAUUAGUCAAUGUUCAUCCAGGCUCCUGGGAAGCGAGGUGUUUGGUUGCAGCAUCUCCCCGUGGCUUGGAGAGCACCACAUCCACCUGGGAGCUGAGGUGCUCCCCUCAGCUUGGCUGUCUCUAAAGGACCACCCCUGCUUCUGCUCCUGGGGCUUUGGAAUGGGGAGAUCCAGCUCCUGGGGGGAAUCCCUGUGGUGAGUAAUGCUGCCUGGCGAGCGCCGGGAAAAGGCGGCUGCACAUAUGCUGCAGCUCAUCCUGCUCUUUUCCUGGAGCUCCCUCACUGUCUGGGUGC